rnacentral:rRNA from 1 species
UACGUAGGGUGCAAGCGUUGUCCGGAAUUAUUGGGCGUAAAGGGCUCGUAGGCGGUCCAUCGCGUCGGGAGUGAAAAGCUGGGGCUUAACCCCAGUCCUGCUUUCGAUACGGGUGGACUAGAGGUAGGCAGGGGAGAACGGAAUUCCUGGUGUAGCGGUGAAAUGCGCAGAUAUCAGGAGGAACACCGGUGGCGAAGGCGGUUCUCUGGGCCUUACCUGACGCUGAGGUGCGAAAGCGUGGGGAGCAAACAGG